rnacentral:rRNA from 1 species
CCCUUAGAUGUUCUGGGCCGCACGCGCGCUACACUGACGAAGCCAGCGAGCAUGUCCUUCGCCGGAAGGUGCGGGGAAUCUUGUGAAACUUCGUCGUGCUGGGGAUAGAUCAUUGCAAUUCUUGAUCUUGAACGAGGAAUUCCUAGUAAGCGCGAGUCAGCAGCUCGCGUUGAUUACGUCCCUGCCCUUUGUACACACCGCCCGUCGCUACUACCGAUUGAAUGGUUUAGUGAGACCUUCGGAUUGGAGCCACCGCGGUCGGCAACGGCCGCGGUGGACACCGAGAAGUCGGCCAAACUUGAUCAUUUAGAGGAAGUAAAAGUCGUAACA